GAAGUGCACUAAGAACUGAGGGAAUCAGAAAAGGUCUCUUGUAAGACAGAUGGGACACCUGAACUGAGCUUUGAAGGGAACUAGGUAUUCCAAGCAGUGGUGGCUAAGAGGAAAAGCAUUCCAGGUGUGGAGGAUGUGCAAAGGUACCCUUCAAGAUCCAACUUAGACUCUGUGUAUUCAAUGGAGCCUUUCCUAAGAGCCUUUCUUUCUCUAAGGAAUUCUUCCUGAAGAGAAUCUGGAACCACAUGCCUUCUCUCUUGAAGCUGGAAGUCAAAAGACCAAGAUCUCUCCAGUAGCCCUUGCCAACUUCACCCCUCAUGCUAGUACUGAGCACUAAGCAAUCAAUCUCCACUAAUGAGAAGAAUUUUAUGCAACUGGGCU